CCUACGGGAGGCAGCAGUGGGGAAUAUUGGGCAAUGGGCGCAAGCCUGAACCAGCAACGCCGCGUGAAGGAAGAAGGCUUUCGGGUUGGAAACUUCUUUUAUCAGGGACGUAGCAAGUGACGGUACCUGAUGAAUAAGCCACGGCUAACUACGUGCCAGCAGCAGCGGAAAUACGUAGGUGGCAAGCGUUAUCAGGAUUUGCGGGGUGUAAGGGGCGUGUAGGGGGGAGUGCAAGUCGGGUGGGAAAACUAGGGGCUCAACCCAUAGCCUGAAUUAGACACUACUUCUUGAGUGCUGGAGAGGCAAUCGGAAUUCGGGGUGUAGCGGUGAAAUGCGUAGAUAUACGGAGGAACACCAGUUGCGAAGGCGGAUUGCUGGACAGUAACUGACGCUGAGGCGCGAAAGCGUGGGGAGCAAACAGGAUUAGAUACCCCAGUAGUC
rnacentral:rRNA from 1 species